rnacentral:tRNA from 2 species
UCCCUGGAGGACUAGUGAUUAGACCACAGCGCUCUCACCACUGUGGCUUGGGUUCGAUUCCUGGCCAGGAAA